rnacentral:tRNA from 1 species
GAGUCUGUAGCCUAGUUGGUAAAGGCAGCACUCUAGUAUGUGUCUCAGCAUAGCUGAGGUCGUGAGUUCGACUCUCACCAGACACA